rnacentral:lncRNA from 1 species
GUAAUAAAUUACUGAUCUCUGCUCUGGGGAAACCGAGAGGAUGGGACAUUUCAUUUGAAGAAUGUAGGAAUGGCUGAGCUGAGAAGGCAUGGAAGGGCAUUGGAGACCCAGGGACCUGCAUAGACAAAGCAGUUGAGUUUCAUCUGGAAGAGAGGCCAUUGAAACCAAGCAUUUGUGUUCAAGUAAGAAAAUGUAUCCAAGUCACAAAGAAACAUAAUUUGGCUUUUGGAGACAUGAGCAGCUUCAUUUCUCAUUUGUUCAUUCGAAAGUCUCCACUGGGCUUCUGAGUGCCACAUCCUGUCCAGAAUGAUGAAAGAUACAGAAAAUGGUGCCUGCUGACCUUCUGGAGUUAUUGGCUAGUAAGAAAGGCUGCCUGCGGUUAGCAGAAGGGGACUCCUGUAUCUGCUCUGCAGCUUCUUCAGCUGAUUUAUAAUGGAAAACAGAGUAGAUAUUGAUUUGGCAAUUAGUGAAAUAUUAUGAGAAUCAUCAUAGCAAACUUCACAGUUUGAUCAAGGAUCCUGCCUUCAAUAUCUGGCCAACUGAUGUGUAAAAGCAGCUGCAAGAACUUCAGAGCUGACAAAAAAAGCAAACUCCAGACUUUAUUUCCUGGAAUCUGUUUUGUGAGACACUGGCCCAUGAAAUGCUCUCCCAGAAAUAGUCGGAUUUGUGGUCAAAUAAAUUUGGGCAAUUCUACAGAACAUGUGUCUUUUUCAGAGAUUUAUUUUUAAUUAAACUUAUUUAAAAAUAUUAACAUGGUACAAUUUGCAUAUAGUGAAGUGUGCAAAUCUUCGCUACAUGGCUCAAUGAGUUUUUACAUAUAUUUCCACCCAUGUAAUCACCACCGAGAUCUAGAAUAGAAUGUAUUCGUCUCUCCAGAGGUUCCUCUGUUCCCUUGCAGUCAAUAAUUCUCCACCAAAGAUAAACAUUCUGCUGACUUCCUUCAUCAUUGAUAAGUUUUUCCUGGUUUUGAACUUCAUAUAAAUGGAAUCAUUUCAUGUCUAGCUCUUUUCACUCAACAUAACAUCUGUCAGAUUAAUACAUCGCAUGUCAAUAGUUUGUAGUUUUUAUGGCUGUGUAGCAUUUCAUUCAUUCAUUCUGCUGUUGAUGGAAAUUUCUUGACUAGAGUUGUGUUAUCAAUUUAUUGCCUCUUGGCUCCAAAUUCACCCUUUUUGCCUGGUCUCUGGAAAUGGGUCUGGGCCCUCUAAAUAUUUUCCCUUUGCAAUCUGGCUCUUGAAGCUUAUCAGUGGAGGGUCCUGGAGGGGCAUUGCAGGGGAAACAGUUUUUCCUUCCUGGUUCAGGGACGCUGGUUUGGUAGCCCCUGUGGUGUUACAGGAGUACUUGGCAAGACAGCAGUUUCCCCGGGUACACCCGCUAGGUGUUUUGUAGCAGAGUGCAUCUGUGAGACAACUGGUGAACUGCUUUCCUUGCAACCUAGAGGGCAGAUUUCUGGCAAGUUCCAGAGGGUGGAUUCCAAACAUGUUCCUCUAAUGUGGAUCUGCAGUGAUGUCUCUGCCAUUCAGUGGGCAUAGCUGUGCCCUUUUAGUGGGGUCUAGAUCUCAGCCCUGGGAUUGGGGGCAUUUUCUCAGUUGCUCAAUCUCAGCCCUAGGGGCAGUGACCAUUCCUUAUAUAUGGUUGUUUGUAUAUUCUUUGGAACUGUCUUGAUUUUAUUACUGUUAGUCUCUCAUUACUCCACUCCCUUAUUAUAGUAAAUGAUUCUUUGUAUUUGACUUUCCCUGGUCAAGGUACUAAGUGGUUUUUCUCUCCUGUUUGGAUCUAGAUUGAUACAAUAAUUUUUUGCAAUUAUGAGCAAUGCUGCUGUGAACAUUCUUGAUCAUGUCUUAGUGGACAUAAGCAAUAAUUGCUGCUGGGUCUGUGUGCAGGAAUGAUUUGCUAGAUCAUAGCACAUACGUUUAUCUGUAGCAGAAACUGCCAAGGUAUAUACAGCUUUCCAAAGUGUGUUAAUUUACAUGCCUGCUAGCAAGGUAGGAGAAAUACAGUUGCUUCCCAAGUAGCUGGGAUUACAGGUGUGUGCCACCACUCCUGGCUAAUUUUUUGUA